rnacentral:rRNA from 1 species
UACGAAGGGGGCUAGCGUUGCUCGGAAUUACUGGGCGUAAAGGGCGCGUAGGCGGCACUGUUAGUCAGGCGUGAAAUUCCUGGGCUCAACCUGGGGACUGCGCUUGAUACGGCAGAGCUUGAGGAUGGAAGAGGGUCGCGGAAUUCCCAGUGUAGAGGUGAAAUUCGUAGAUAUCUGGAGGAACACCGGUGGCGAAGGCGGCAUCCUGGACCGACACUGACACUGAGGAGCGAAAGCCAGGGGAGCAAACGGG